rnacentral:lncRNA from 1 species
ACUUUGCUUAUAGUUCAGUGGUUGAGUCCGAGUCAUUAAGCUGAUUAGAUCACUGAAUGCUUCGAGUUGAUCUAUGUCAUUAAGAUUAAUUAGUGUGACUGAUAUAGGUGUCCUUGACCAACUUGUCUCUAAUCCUUUUCAUGACUUAGUAAAAUCAGUGGAAGGAUUUACGACUUGCCGGUUGGAUCAACUAAUCUUUAGUCUUUUUUAUGACUUGGUAAAGUCAGUGAAAAGAUUUAUGACUUGC